GAGCUGUGAAGAUCUCUGUGCUUAUGUGAUCGCUAGGGUUUAUUAUACUCAUCUGAACUUAAAGAUGACAUUAAGAGUAUCUAAGCUC
rfam:Gossypium raimondii chromosome 7, whole genome shotgun sequence.